rnacentral:rRNA from 1 species
AAGUCGUAACAAGGUCUCCGUUGGUGAACCAGCGGAGGGAUCAUUACAGAGUUGCAAAACUCCCACAACCAUCGCGAACGUUACCUAUACCGUUGCUUCGGCGGGCCCCGCGCCCGCCGGCGGCAUACCGAACUCUUGUUUAUAUAGGCCUCUCUGAGUAUUUUGACGAAUAAGUUAAAACUUUCAACAACGGAUCUCUUGGUUCUGGCAUCGAUGAAGAACGCAGCGAAAUGCGAUAAGUAAUGUGAAUUGCAGAAUUCAGUGAAUCAUCGAAUCUUUGAACGCACAUUGCGCCCGCCAGUAUUCUGGCGGGCAUGCCUGUUCGAGCGUCAUUUCAACCAUCAAGCCCCCGGCUUGUGUUGGGGCCCUGCGGCUGCCGCAGGCCCUGAAAACCAGUGGCGGGCUCGCCGUCGGACCGAGCGUAGUAACACAUCUCGCUCCGGACCCGCGGCGGGCGCUGGCCGUGAAACACCCCCCUUCUCAAGGUUGACCUCGGAUCAGGUAGGAAUACCCGCUGAACUUA